rnacentral:rRNA from 1 species
UACGUAGGGGGCUAGCGUUGUCCGGAAUCAUUGGGCGUAAAGCGCGCGUAGGCGGCCCGGUAAGUCCGUUGUAAAAGUCAAAGGCUCAACCUUUGAAAGCCGAUGGAUACUGUCGGGCUAGAGUCCGGAAGAGGCGAGUAGAAUUCCUGGUGUAGCGGUGGAAUGCGCAGAUAUCAGGAGGAAUACCCAUAGCGAAGGCAGCUCGCUGGGACGGUACUGACGCUGAGGAGCGAAAGCGUGGGUAGCAAACAGG